GCAUCGGUGGCUUAGUGGUAGAACACUGGCCAACCAAGCAAGUGGUCCAGGGUUCAAUCCCCCCGAUGCA
rnacentral:tRNA from 1 species